CCGAGAGUGGAGCCUCCGCGCUCGAACUU
rnacentral:sRNA from 1 species